UUGAACGCUGGCGGCAUGCCUUACACAUGCAAGUCGAACGGCAGCACGGGAGCAAUCCUGGUGGCGAGUGGCGAACGGGUGAGUAAUAUAUCGGAACGUGCCCAGUCGUGGGGGAUAACGUAGCGAAAGCUACGCUAAUACCGCAUACGAUCUAUGGAUGAAAGCGGGGGAUCGCAAGACCUCGCGCGAUUGGAGCGGCCGAUAUCAGAUUAGGUAGUUGGUGAGGUAAAGGCUCACCAAGCCGACGAUCUGUAGCUGGUCUGAGAGGACGACCAGCCACACUGGGACUGAGACACGGCCCAGACUCCUACGGGAGGCAGCAGUGGGGAAUUUUGGACAAUGGGCGCAAGCCUGAUCCAGCAAUGCCGCGUGCAGGAUGAAGGCCUUCGGGUUGUAAACUGCUUUUGUACGGAACGAAACGGUGAGCUCUAAUACAGUUUGCUAAUGACGGUACCGUAAGAAUAGGCACCGGCUAACUACGUG
rnacentral:rRNA from 1 species